AAGAGAGAAAAAAUAAAGAAAGGAAAGAGGAGAGUAAAAAAGCAAAAAAUAGAAUAAAGAACAAUUGAGAAUCAUGGGGUUCAACUUCUAAAUUGUAAAGACUGAAUUUUGAGAAGUUAUUGAAAGUAAAGGACAAAUUAUAAAUGAAGAAACAGAGAAAAUGUUAAUGGUCUGAAAAAAAGUAAUAAAGAUAUAAAGGACCCCCAUCCAGAACCUCAUAUUUAUUUUUAUUCAAUUAGUUUGUUACAAUUCUUUUUUUUUUAAGUGGUAGUAGUUUGAUAAAGUUGUAAUAAUGAGUGAGAGUGUUUGUGGUUUGAGUUGGGCGAGUUGUAUAGAAAAGAGAAAUUGAGAAGGAAGUUUAUUCCCAAGAAUUACAAUUGUUCUAGUAUCAUGAUUUGGCAGAUUAGAGGGACAUAAUUUAGUGACUAUUGUUUGUCAUGAUUUUAACAUGAUAAAAUGCUUCUUAAUUUCAACUAAUUCUAAUGAGCUUCAUUGAACAAGACAGUAACUACCUCAAACAAUCUGACACUGACUAAGGGAAGACCAUAUAACUUCAAAAGGGGGGUAUGUUUUUUCAAAAAAAAAUCUGACCCACAAUUUGAUGAAAAAAAUAUAUUCUGGUCAAGCAGAUGACAAAAAUAUUAUUCUGAAUGCAGAUUUCCCACAUACCUUAUAAAUAGUGUUAAAUUUUGACAAAAUAACUUGAUUGAUAGCGUCGA
rnacentral:lncRNA from 1 species